GUUAGCUGGUACAGAGCAGUACUGGUGGAUCUUCCCGCUCUGUAGGCAUGAUGAGCCGCAUGCAGGAGUGCUCUCUUCAGCGUUUUUGUCCUUAUUUCAUGAUCUUCUCCAUGGUUUUUAGUAGGAAAGACGUUAGGCUGAUUGCCCUGAAAGCUUUCGUCAAUGAGUAGUCUUUCCUUCCUACUUUGGGCAUGAAGAUCACCUUCGCUGUCCUCCAUACUUCGGGGAUGUACGCCAUUGCGAGGCUUUCUCUCAGCAGCCGAGCCAGGUGAGGCAGUAAAAACUGCUCCCCUGUUGUAAGAGCGCUGGAAAGAUGCCAUCCACUCCCGGAGACUUGAAUCUCUCAAAAGAGGCCAUUGCCCACCCGAUCGAGUCCGCUAUAAACAGCUGUUUGGCGAUUCUCCAAUCCUCGCAGGAUGGCCUGUGUUCGAUCAUGGGUAGAGAAGCUCCGUGGCUUUGUCCUCUGUGAUGGUCGUAAACCUGCUCGCUGUGAACCUGCUCGUUAUGCAGGUUCACCUGGCCGACUUCCGUAUUGACGGCCAUUAUAAUAAUGGUUCGAGAAAGGGCAGUUCCUCAUCCCCACCGUCCAGUGGGUCUCCUGGCCCAUCGAGGAGUUCCUGCGUGGAUGGUAGCUCUGCUCUCUGGCCGCAGAAACUAACAUCGGGGACGUCGGGGGUCGCCGCUGGCAUUGGCUGUCCAGUCCUGCUUCCGCUGGGCUGAUUCGCCACCUCGUCCACCUGCAUUGCUACUACCUCCGGAGCUGCCACAGUCUGUUUUGCAAUACUCUUGCUUUGCUGAGUCGCAGCUUUUUGUGCUCCCUUGCUGCCAGUGGCUGCGGGCUUGUGGGACCGCAUCACCACCGUGCUGUACCUGUAGUACAAGCGGAAGCUCGCUGCCCGGACGUAUUUGUCCACCCGGUGGGGAGCCGGUGCGGAUGGUUGGCCUUUGUGUUGCUGCCCCUCAACCUGUUGGAGCUGAAGGGCUCCUGCGGCAUCAUCUGGCCGCUCUUCCGCUUCGCGGUUUGAGCAUACGCGUCCGAGGACGCUGCUCUUCCAUCGCCACGCGAGCUGACACGGUCCUGGCACGCUCUUUUGCUGGGGAUACGUUGCUCCCUUUGCUCCUACUCCUGGCCAUAGCCUCCGCUACCUCGGGAGUCUUCCCAUCCCGGAGGUAACGCAGGUACCAUUUCAUGCUGGCACCGCUCAUACCUUUCCUGUGUAGGUCAUCACACCCGUCGAGCUUGCCAGCUCCUGGGAGAGGGCGUUGCCCACCUCUUCUGCGCCUCCUCCUCCUUCUACGAGCACCGUCGGGCUCUGCCCGAUGUGACUCACCCGAGUCCAACCCGCUACGCCUUUUGGCGGGGGUCUUAGCGGCGCUCGUAGCUGCCUCAGCGGUAAUAGACACUUUCGCCAUGCGAGCGUCGCUGCAUGAGGGCAUAUCGUCUUCAUUCUCCCUGGCAUACUCCUCAAAGAGCGCCCGCUCCUCUGGCGAGAGAGCGUCAAGGAAACUAAACUUUCACCUAGCUCCUUGAGCACCCUUGCCUGCCGCUGCACCGAUCUCCUUCUCAUUGUCCGUGGCCGUUGUCCUUGGUUGUUGCUUCGUUGUCUGGCUGUUGGGUAUGGUUGUUCUUUGUUUAUUUGUGUUCAUCUUGUCCGUACGACCCUUGGCUCAACAAGGUGAGCUAUCGGGUCUAUUGUUUUAAUGGGGAACUAUGCCGCGCCAGAGCACCUUGACGCGUUAAGGCCACAGUUACUCCCCAAUUCGGCCCGGUGUUGGGCAGGAUCCGUUAGAAUACAGCCGAAUUUACCUCCUGACACGUUAUGACACCGGUUGUGUUAACUUAAUGUAUGAUUAUAAAAAACUUAUUGGACAUACACAUAUGAAGAUGCGGGUUUGUACAAAAAUAUAAAUUAGAAUUUUCUCGAUUCUGUUGCAGUUUUCGUCAUUAAUAUUUGUUCAAGGUGCAGUUCUACUGAUACUCCACAUUCUUGUUUUAGGUUAAUAUUGCAUAACUUUCAGACCGCUUUCCUGUAUUCUGUGAAAACAGACCGACAAAAGUUCUAAACUACUCCUUUGUACCCAACAAUUCUUUUGUGGUCACGCUCUACCAUGCCAUUUAUUCUUUAGACAUACAUAUGCACAUAUGUGAAUGUGUAUUUGUUUUUAGUUAGGUGUCUGAACAACCUAGCUACAGAUCCCCGAGUUGGUGCAUCAUAACGUACGUGAUGUCUUCCAUUCCGUAUAGACACGGCUUUCAGACACCUACAUUGGAUUUUUAGAUGUUUUUUUUUUUGAUCCCUGAGUUGGUGGACGGAGAAUGGAGUCAUGUGUAGAAGUUCACGCAAGUGAGGAAAGUUCUCUGAUCUCAACCAGCUCACGACUUUCGGUCUCUGACCCAAGUAUCCUCUAGGUAGCCUAAGAACAUCCAUUUGAAGGCGAGCUAAAGUGAGAAAGCGAAACAUCCCCUCCGAGGGUUGUGCGCUGUGUUUGCGACCCGCCACUUAGCCUCGGAUGAGUGACCCCCCUUUUGAUGACGAUCAUGGCAAACGAAUUAAGGACUAUGAUUUAGGGAGAGUUGGUGGACGAGGUAUUCCCUCUCCUGAGUACGUAGGGACAUCCUACAACAUCCAACAAAAAUAACCAGAGGGCUAAUGCUGAAGAUGCCUCUGACCCGUUAAAACCCUCGCGGGCCGAAGGAUGCUCCCGUCGGAAUCGCAUCCUAAAAAGUAAGGGAAGGGAAGAGAGGGGGCAUCGAGCGAAUUUUGAUUUUUGAAUUGAAAAGGGUAGAGUUAGAAACGAUGUUUGAGUGAUACUCGCACUCCUGGAGAGGAGAAUGGAGGAAAUCGUUCAGAUUUGUCUUUUACAAAUAGAAUCCGUGGGCAAACGAGAUAGCAGGUCUUGGACCCGCUGUUCGGCUGACGCAACCCUGACUAUCAGCCGAGGUAGCGAAAAGGCAACGCCUUUCACUACCCAAACCGCGAUACGAAAAAUAACGCUACAGGAGCCUCCCAGCCCUAAAAAGUUGGCAACGCAUACGACGUCGCAGAUAUGCGAAUGUUCUCAAAGGCUUCCAAAACCUGUGCUACCUCUCAACUACCCGGCAGAGGCGUUGGGAUUAGAAGACCUUACCAAUCUCCUUACGGAAGUGAUAUUCUUAGGGUCUGUAUACGCAGCCAGUGAACUGCGAGGAGGAGAUGUCCGAUAUCUGACUAAGAGAGAUCGCUCCUAAGCUGAUUGGCCGGGAAGACCCCAUCAACCCAUUCAGAUCAUGCACAACAUUACGAUAUUUCUCUCUAGAUGUGCAGGCUUCAGGGGUUCAGGGUUCACCCUCCGACUUGAGCACCUCGGCAUAUCGUGUGUUCAGCAGCACGGCUGAUAACUCAGGACGGAGGCUAAACCUUUGUAUAGACGAAGAGUCGUACAAAUUCGUCUGGAGAGAAGCGCAGGUUCACUAAGGUCAAUCUGGGCAUACUGCAGAUCUAAGAACCAUGAGUCAUCAAAGGGAAGGUCAAAGUCCUCAAGACGGAUGUCAACAAGGGAAUCUAGGAUCUCUCUGAGUUCCUGACACAGGACACAGUUGCUAUGCAAGCCCAGGACAGCAAAGGAGCGGACUUCGUUCUAGCUACAGCCUUUUUCCCAGGAUAGACACUCACACCACCCCCAGAGACUGUAGAGCUGUUCCCCUGACCCUUGGAUGUGAAGCAAACGCUUAUCACUGGUAAUGGGGUAGUACGGAUUGCAACAAACAAGGAGUGAAGUGCUCGACUUUGAGCAACGAGCUAAUGCAGAAGCGUUGAGAUCUCGACCUGGUUAGAUAGCUGUUCACAAGAAAGGUGGCGUGAGCCGGGGCGUUUGCGCGGUGAAACUUCCAAUCGGCUGCGAUAUGCUGUCGGACCCGAUUGACUCUUCGUUUGAGAGUCUUGAGGACUUCGACGUAAAACUUGGCGUUAAUGAUUUAUGCAGGAGGAACAAAAACAAACAAAUGUCAAAAAAGACAAAGAGCAUCGUUUUCACUUUGGAUUUGCUCAUACUUCCGGUCUUCAUCAGGGACUUUUUCCCGGCCCCCCAAAAAGAACUGAUGCCACGGAAACUCAUCACUCCUUGCUUAAGCAAGUUCUGGGAAAUCCUGCUUGAUCAUAUCAAACGUCUCUACCGCAGAUUUACUGGGUUUCACACAAAAUUUAAUCCCGUACCUCUGCUCAAACGAAUGCUGCAUUUUCGGCUUGCACCACUCACAGAAACACGUCGUGCAAAAAUUUUUGUCCUGGGUAUCCAGGUCCUCGGAGACAACUGACCAGCCGCUCGUUCGUUAGCUAGGAACGCCCUCUACUGAGCCCAGCCGAUGCGCGAGUUAAUACCAGUAUCAACGACACUUAUACACAAGUAUAUGAGAAACGCUGAUAAAACCGUAUCUGUCCUAAUCAAAUAAACAAGAGUCUCAAACACAAGACUUUGAACUCAUACCACACCAUACCCGAAUACAUAGGCAUGCAUAGACCGCACGAUAAGCACUUUUUUACAACAAAUAAUACAAUUAGACUUUAGACCUAACCCACAAAACAUGAAUAUGUUAUCAACUUAACGAAUAAUACCAUAGGAUAAUACGAAAACAUGUUCAUUAAGUAUGUGAAUUUCUAA